rnacentral:rRNA from 1 species
CAGCGCCGCGGGAAUACGAAGGGUGCAAGCGUUAAUCGGAAUUACUGGGCGUAAAGCGUGCGUAGGCGGUGAGUUAAGUCUGCUGUGAAAUCCCCGGGCUCAACCUGGGAAUGGCAGUGGAUACUGGCUCGCUAGAGUGUGUCAGAGGAUGGUGGAAUUCCCGGUGUAGCGGUGAAAUGCGUAGAGAUCGGGAGGAACAUCAGUGGCGAAGGCGGCCAUCUGGGACAACACUGACGCUGAGGCACGAAAGCGUGGGGAGCAAACAGGAUUAGAUACCCGAGUAGUCCCUGUCUCUUAUACA